rnacentral:rRNA from 1 species
GACGAACGCUGGCGGCGUGCUUAACACAUGCAAGUCGAACGGAAAGGCCCUGCUUUUGUGGGGUGCUCGAGUGGCGAACGGGUGAGUAACACGUGAGUAACCUGCCCUUGACUUUGGGAUGACUUCAGGAAACUGGGGCUAAUACCGGAUAGGAGCUCCUGCUGCAUGGUGGGGGUUGGAAAGUUUCGGCGGUUGGGGAUGGACUCGCGGCUUAUCAGCUUGUUGGUGGGGUAGUGGCUUACCAAGGCUUUGACGGGUAGCCGGCCUGAGAGGGUGACCGGCCACAUUGGGACUGAGAUACGGCCCAGACUCCUACGGGAGGCAGCGGUGGGGAAUAUUGCACAAUGGGCGGAAGCCUGAUGCAGCAACGCCGCGUGCGGGAUGACGGCCUUCGGGUUGUAAACCGCUUUCGCCUGUGACGAAGCGUGAGUGACGGUAAUGGGUAAAGAAGCACCGGCUAACUACGUG